AUUGAACGCUGGCGGCAGGCCUAACACAUGCAAGUCGAGCGGCAGCGGGAAAGUAGCUUGCUACUUUUGCCGGCGAGCGGCGGACGGGUGAGUAAUGCCUGGGAAAUUGCCCAGUCGAGGGGGAUAACAGUUGGAAACGACUGCUAAUACCGCAUACGCCCUACGGGGGAAAGCAGGGGACCUUCGGGCCUUGCGCGAUUGGAUAUGCCCAGGUGGGAUUAGCUAGUUGGUGAGGUAAUGGCUCACCAAGGCGACGAUCCCUAGCAGGUCUGGUAGGAUGAUCAGCCACACUGGAACUGAGACACGGUCCAGACUCCUACGGGAGGCAGCAGUGGGGAAUAUUGCACAAUGGGGGAAACCCUGAUGCAGCCAUGCGGCGUGUGUGAAGAAGGCCUUCGGGUUGUAAAGCACUUUCAGCGAGGAGGAAAGGUCAGUAGCUAAUACCUGCUGGCUGUGACGUUACUCGCAGAAGAAGCACCGGCUAACUCCGUGCCAGCCGCCGCAGUAAAAC
rnacentral:rRNA from 1 species